rnacentral:tRNA from 1 species
UCCUUGCUGGUCCAGUGGUUAAGACACCACAUUUCCAAUGCAGAGGGCCUGGGCUCAAUCCCUGGUCAGGGAA